rnacentral:rRNA from 1 species
UACGUAGGGGGCAAGCGUUGUCCGGAUUUAUUGGGCGUAAAGAGCGUGUAGGCGGCUAUACAGGUCCGCUGUGAAAGUCCAGGGCUCAACCCUGGAAGGCCGGUGGAAACUGUCGGGCUAGAGUCCGGAAGAGGCGAGUGGAAUUCCCGGUGUGAGCGGUGAAAUGCGCAGAUAUCGGGAGGAACACCAAUGGCGAAGGCAGCUCGCUGGGACGGUACUGACGCUGAGACGCGAAAGCGUGGGGAGCAAACAGGG